rnacentral:rRNA from 1 species
GAUGAACGCUGGCGGCGUGCCUAAUACAUGCAAGUCGAGCGAACAGACGAGGAGCUUGCUCCUCUGACGUUAGCGGCGGACGGGUGAGUAACACGUGGAUAACCUACCUAUAAGACUGGGAUAACUUCGGGAAACCGGAGCUAAUACCGGAUAAUAUAUUGAACCGCAUGGUUCAAUAGUGAAAGACGGUUUUGCUGUCACUUAUAGAUGGAUCCGCGCCGCAUUAGCUAGUUGGUAAGGUAACGGCUUACCAAGGCAACGAUGCGUAGCCGACCUGAGAGGGUGAUCGGCCACACUGGAACUGAGACACGGUCCAGACUCCUACGGGAGGCAGCAGUAGGGAAUCUUCCGCAAUGGGCGAAAGCUUUACGGAGCAACGCCGCGUGAGUGAUGAAGGUCUUCGGAUCUUAAAACUCUGUUAUUAGGGAAGAACAAAUGUGUAAGUAACUAUGCACGUCUUGACGGUACCUAAUCAGAAAGCCACGGCUAACUACGUG